CCUACGGGUGGCUGCAGUGAGGAAUAUUGGUCAAUGGGCGCGAGCCUGAACCAGCCAAGUCGCGUGAGGGAAGACGGUCCUAUGGAUUGUAAACCUCUUUUGUAUGGGAAUAAAAUGUUCCACGUGUGGGAUUUUGUAUGUACCAUAUGAAUAAGGAUCGGCUAACUCCGUGCCAGCAGCCGCGGUAAUACGGAGGAUCCGAGCGUUAUCCGGAUUUAUUGGGUUUAAAGGGAGCGUAGGUGGAUUGUUAAGUCAGUUGUGAAAGUUUGCGGCUCAACCGUAAAAUUGCAGUUGAAACUGGCAGUCUUGAGUACAGUAGAGGUGGGCGGAAUUCGUGGUGGAGCGGUGAAAUGCUUAGAUAUUAGGAGGAACACCGGUGGCGAAGGCGGCCUGCUGGACUGUGACUGACGUUGAGGCCCGAAGGCGUGGGGAGCAAACAGGAUUAGAUACCCGGGUAGUC
rnacentral:rRNA from 1 species